ACGCCAUUGAUUCCCAGGUUCUGCUGACAUCCGUCAGUAAGGAUGUUUUUCUUACCAUGGCUCUACAGGUGAUAAAGGAAGAUGUACAAGUGCUAACUACGGAACAACUAUAAUUUUUGAACGUUAAUGAGGUACCGGACAGGAAUAUCCAUUGAUGUCUACCUCGUGAUCUGAUGUGGUCCUGGGAGCCAUGCUAUGCAGUGCAUUGCUUUUACUGAACAGGGCUCUCAGCAUUGUCUGGCCAUGUGCUUAGCGAAAAGCCACUGAUUCGAUCCUGGGCUGCAGAAAGACAUGGCUACCUAGUCAUUUUAGAGCACUCAGUUUCUAAACUAUGGGGAGAGAUUAGGAAUAAAACAAUGAUUUACUUAUUUAUUUAACAGUGGAAAAAAAUGUAGUAUGUGUGUACAGAGAAAUCACAUAAGCAUGAACCCCAGUGAUAUAUUUUAAGGGAGAAAUCUAACUAGGUGAAGCCAAUUCUAUGAAGCUUGAAUAUGAACAAUAAAUAUGUAGUAGUAAGUACGUUACAUGCUUCUUACACAGCUGUCUAGGGAAAAACCCCGGGUCACUUUUCUGAGUAAUGGUUCACUGUGGAAGAACAAUAAUGGCUACUGUAAUUUCUUUAAUGUCCUCAGUUAUGCUGGGCAUCAAAACAUGCUUUUUAAUUGACCACAUAUAGUAAAAUAUAGUGGGUACUUCUAGAUGACUAAACUUCUU